UCCCUGGUGGCUCAGAUGGUAAAGAAUCUGCCUGCCAGUGCAGGAAACCCAGGUUCAAUCCCUGGGUAGGGAA
rnacentral:tRNA from 1 species